UAAGAUGGAAAUGAGCCUCGUCAGAGAAC
rnacentral:piRNA from 1 species